rnacentral:rRNA from 1 species
GAUGAACGCUAGCGACAGGCCUAACACAUGCAAGUCGAGGGGUAGCAGGAUUAAGCUUGCUUAAUUGCUGACGACCGGCGCACGGGUGCGUAACGCGUAUGCAACCUACCUUAUACUGGGGAAUAACUUCGAGAAAUCGGCGCUAAUACCCCAUAACAUUGCGAAGAGGCAUCUCUUUGCAAUUAAAGCUCCGGCGGUAUAAGAUGGGCAUGCGUCCAAUUAGCUAGUUGGUGAGGUAACGGCUCUCCAAGGCUACGAUUGGUAGGGGUUCUGAGAGGAUGAUCCCCCACACUGGUACUGAGACACGGACCAGACUCCUACGGGAGGCAGCAGUGAGGAAUAUUGCGCAAUGGACGAAAGUCUGACGCAGCCAUGCCGCGUGCAGGAUGACGGCCCUAUGGGUUGCAAACUGCUUUUGUACGGGAAUAAACCCUUCUACGUGUAGGAGGCUGAAGGUACCGUAAGAAUAAGCACCGGCUAACUCCGUGCCAGCCGCCGCGGUAA